rnacentral:rRNA from 1 species
GGGUUCAGAACGUCGUGAGACAGUUCGGUCCCUAUCCGUCGCAGGCGUAGGAAAUUUGAGAAGACCUGUCCUUAGUACGAGAGGACCGGGAUGGACGUACCUCUGGUCCUGGGGCUGUAGUAGGUCCCAAGGGUUGGGCUGUUCGCCCAUUAAAGUGGUACGCGAGCUGGGUUCAGAACGUCGUGAGACAGUUCGGUCCCUAUCCGUCGCAGGCGUAGGAAAUUUGAGAAGACCUGUCCUUAGUACGAGAGGACCGGGAUGGACGUACCUCUGGUGUACCAGUUGUUCUGCCAAGGGCAUGGCUGGGUAGCUAUGUACGGAAUGGAUAAGCGCUGAAAGCAUCUAAGCGCGAAGCCAACUUCAAGAUAAGAUUUCCCACCGCAAGGGUAAGACCCCAGAAAGACUAUCUGGUUGAUAGGUCGAAGGUGUAAGUGCAGCAAUGUAUUUAGCUUAUCGAUACUAAUAGGUCGAGGACUUGACCAAU